AUAGGUUGUAAUCGGAAGUUGCUCAGUUUAGUGAAGUUGGAAAUCCUACUGGGGUAGGUCGUGGUUUUUAAUCCCUUGAGUGAGGAGUUUUCCAUGUAAAUAUCUUGCCUCAUUUACUUUCUGUCUUUAUCUGUGAAAACAAUUUAGGGAUCAGGUCCCUUAGACUGUUUUGGUGGACUCAUUGGUUCUAUCAGGUCCCUUAGACUGUUUUGAUGGACUCAUAUUUCUAUCAUUGUGGAUCAUACAGAGGAAGUUAAAGUCUCGGGUUUUAAGAAGUUAAAGGUGUGAUGACGGAAAUCAUUGAGAAGACAGAUUAUACUAACCUCCUUUUGGAUUAUACCCUUUCAAAAGACUUUAUUUCCUAAUUUAAAACUGGACAGAAUCCAAAAAACUGUAUGUGGCUGAUUGAUGUGAGUUAUAGCCUUACAAGUUCUUGAUCAUUUGGUAUGUAAAGGCUUGCCCAUAUUGGAUCACCCCCUUUUCUUUAGGGUUGUUUCUUACUUAUUUUUCCACAUGCGUGUUUGAAUUUAGAUACCCAGGUACACAUUUAUGAGAAGUACCGACUGAAAUUUAGCUAUAAAUUAUGUCAAGUAAAAGGGAGGCACCCAAUAAGGGGCAUUGACUGCUACUUUAAAGCCAAGGUGCAGCCGUCACAAGAAGAAAAUGAAAAACAAGAAAACGCAAGCCAAAGGAAGAGGAGAUGGAGGAGAAAAUACAAAGAAGAAGUUAUUGUAAAUGGAUAUCACUUUCAACUUUCAUGAUUCCUAAGGAACGAAAUUAUAUUCACCGAAUGAAGGAUGUACCAGCAAUUGAGAUUAUCCAUAGGAAGGAUGGUGCUUAACUUGGAGCCAGCGAACAAUGAGAGUCUAUGCAGCUGCUAAAGGAAAGUUUCAGUACCUUUAAAAAUGUCAUCGAAUGAGGGUGAGAGUUUGUAAAGAGGUAAACUGAUACCUCCUAAUUGACCAUCUUGCGUCAGAUUCAUAUAUAUAACAAAAAUAACAGCAAAUACAAUUAGAACUUUUGGUGGU